ACAGAAAAAAAACGAAGAAAGCAGGAUAAAUAGGUUCUACAGUUAGGGAUCUGAAGGAACUUAUUCAGCCAGGCUGCUGCAGAAGAAAUGAGCAUAAUUUACAUAAUUUCGGUGUUUGCAAGGGAGCUGCCUGGAUACUUUAUCUUUGGCUGGAUCUUCAUGCCUGUGACUUUACUCCUACUGCUGCUCAUUGCCUAUUUCAGGAUCCAACUAUCAAAAGUUGAUCAGGAGCUGGCCAUGCUGUAUGACCCUAGAAACACACUCCCAAAGUACGACAUCGAUCAGCAGAAACUGUGGAGGUCUCGGAAAAAAGCAAACAAACAUGGGAAUUGAAUGACAUUAAAGGGUGUCUGAAGCCUCAGGAUACAAGCUUACAACCAGUGCUCAGCUCUUCAGGCUUAAAAAUAACCAUCUGUAGAUAAAUAGCAUAGAGGAGAACAAAAUAGAGAGAAACUAGCGGCAUGUUGUACAAGUAAAAAAGCUACUGCCAUUCAAAAAGACCUCAUAGCAGUUUUGCUCACUCACCUGUGGCCAAGUGAUCAGUACUUUCAUCAGCUCAUCAGACACCAGAGACCUCCUGCAAUGUACCGCAUCAGUUUGUUUACGUGGCGCAGGAUACGGCGGGAGAGAAAGCACCUUGCUCACCAGUCCUUCACCAGCCUGCAGGGAAGGACACUCAAUAUUUAACAAGCUCCUGGGAGAGUUGAGCUACAUAUACAAUGCAGGCAGUCUUAUUAAAUUGAAAAUGCAAAAAUAGUAAGUUCAUACCAAGCAGUGACAUGCAGAAAUCGAGAAGGGUGAUGAGGGGGAACUGACUUAUUUUUAUCAGCUUGUAUACUUUUUGUAAGAUUGUAGGUUUUCUAAAGUAUGGAAACAAAAUGUGACAGUGAUGGGAAACAGAAGGACACUGCUGAUCGUGCCCAAAGUUUGAAAUAAUGGAAUGUUGCAAUCAGUAGGAUGGGUCUUGAAUAAAUGGAUUAUUUAUGAAAAGAAUUAAUGAAAAAAAACCUCUUAGUAUGGAUGUGUGUCUCACAUACUCAGAAAUCCCCCUCCCCUUCCCCUUCCUAGGGGAAUAACACUCCACAGGCAGUUCUUAAAUCAGAAAUAUGCUCUCUAUCUCUAUCUAUACUUAACUAUGUUAAGUAGACCUUACUUUCAUGACAUCAAAUUGACAUACUCAGGACACUGAGGAGCACACGCUCCCUUACCUCUCUGACCUGGGCUUUUACGUUACCUGGCAGACCUAGUGCAACACAGUCCAAAGUAGAGUAUGCUUUUCUUAAAAUCUAGCACAUCUGGACUGUAAAGGCAGAGAAUCUCAAAAGCUCUCAAUACUGGCCUGCUCCUACCUUUAACAAACUCUGCUGUUAAACGUUGGCACUAAGUAGCCCAAAUAACACUGUUUUCAUUGAAAGAUGCUUUCUGAUCCCAGGAAAAUAGUAACGAUGAAAAAAUGUGACGCUUCGUUUAACUUCAAUGUUUCUAAACUUGAAUUUAUGUCAUUAGGUAUUUAACGUUCAUGAAAGAUAUAUCAAGAUAGUUACCAUAGUGUCAGUAGCAUAUUUAUGAAUACUUGUGUGACAUAAAGCUUGAAAGCCUAAGGUGUAAUACAUAAAUAUUCUUAAGAAGCAUGCUAUUAACUCAUACAGCCAUUAUUGACCAUAU